rnacentral:rRNA from 1 species
CCUACGGGAGGCAGCAGUGAGGAAUAUUGGACAAUGGGCGCAAGCCUGAUCCAGCCAUGCCGCGUGCAGGAUGACGGUCCUAUGGAUUGUAAACUGCUUUUGCACAGGAAGAAACAACAUUACGUGUAAUGUCUUGACGGUACUGUGAGAAUAAGGAUCGGCUAACUCCGUGCCAGCAGCCGCGGUAAUACGGAGGAUCCAAGCGUUAUCCGGAAUCAUUGGGUUUAAAGGGUCCGUAGGCGGUUUAGUAAGUCAGUGGUGAAAGCCCAUCGCUCAAACGGUGGAACGGCCAUUGAUACUGCUAGACUUGAAUUAUUAGGAAGUAACUAGAAUAUGUAGUGUAGCGGUGAAAUGCUUAGAGAUUACAUGGAAUACCAAAUUGCGAAAGGCAGGUUACUACUAAAUGGAUUGACGCUGAUGGACGAAAGCGUGGGUAGCGAACAGGAUUAGAUACCCUGGUAGUCCACGCCGUAAAACGAUGGAUACUAGNUGUGGAGNGNUNUNGUGNAGAGAAGAGAUAAGUAAUACCACCNGGAGGUACGUUCGCGAAGAAGUAGAAACGUAACAAAUAAGAAGUUAGUAGGACGUUAGAGAGAGCGAGGACGACACGAGGGAGGAGG